CGGGGUGAGUAACACGUGGGUAACCUGCCCGGAAGUGGGGAAUACCUCGGGGAAACUCGAGCUAAUACCGCAUGACAUCUUCGGGACGAAAGUCCUGACGAUCAAAGCGGGGUCGCAAGACCUCGCGCUACCGGAUGGGCCCGCGCCCGAUUAGCUAGUUGGCGAGGUAAUGGCUCACCAAGGCUUCGAUCGGUAACCGGCCUGAGAGGGCGAUCGGUCACACCGGAACUGAGACACGGUCCGG
rnacentral:rRNA from 1 species